rnacentral:siRNA from 1 species
AUGCUGUUUUUAUAGGGGUUAAAA